rnacentral:rRNA from 1 species
AGUCGAACGAGGCAGCAAAUGCCGAGUGGCGGAAGGGUGAGGAACGCGUGAGUAAUCUGCCCUCAAGUUGGGAAUAACAGCUGGAAACGGCUGCUAAUACCGAAUGUGGCUGUUUGACCGCAUGUUUGAGCAGUUUAAAGAUUUAUUGCUUGAGGAUGAGCUCGCGUCCCAUUAGUUAGUUGGCGGGGCAACGGCCCACCAAGACGAUGAUGGGUAGCUGGUCUGAGAGGAUGGUCAGCCACACUGGGACUGAGACACUGCCCAGACUCCUACGGGAGGCUGCAGUCGAGAAUCUUGGGCAAUGCGCGAAAGCGUGACCCAGCAAUGCCGCGUGUGUGAUGAAGGUCUUCGGAUUGUAAAACACUGUCUCCCGGGACGAAAGAUGACGGUACCGGGGAAGGAAGCCACGGCUAACUACGUGCCAGCAGCCGCGGUAAUACGUAGGUGGCGAGCGUUGUUCGGAUUUAUUGGGCGUAAAGGGUCUGUAGGAGGUUUGUUAAAUGCGGGGUGAAAUCCGGGAGCUCAACUCCCGAACUGCCUUGUAGACUGACAGACUGGAGUACUGGAGAGGUAAGCGGAAUACCAAGUGUAGCGGUGGAAUGCGUAGAUAUUUGGUAGAACACCAAGAGCGAAGGCAGCUUGCUGGACAGAUACUGACUCUGAAAGACGAAAGCGUGGGUAGCAAACAGGAUUAGAUACCCUGGUAGUCCACGCCGUAAACGUUGUCAACUUGAUGUGGGGGGAUUUAGUCCUCCCCGUAUCGAGGCCAACGCGAUAAGUUGACCGCCUGGGGACUACGGCCGCAAGGCUAAAACUCAAAGGAAUUGACGGGGGCCCGCACAAGCGGUGGAGCAUGUGGCUUAAUUCGAGGCAACGCGAAGAACCUUACCUGGGCUUGAAAUGUACCGGACAGUCUGUGAAAGCAGAUCUCUCUUCGGAGUCGGUGCACAGGUGCUGCAUGGCUGUCGUCAGCUCGUGCCGUGAGGUGUUCGGUUAAGUCCGACAACGAGCGCAACCCGUGUCAUCAGUUGCCAGCAAGUAAAGUUGGGGACUCUGGUGAGACUGCCUGUGUAAGCAGGAGGAAGGCGCGGAUGACGUCAAGUCAGUAUGGCCCUUACGCCCAGGGCUGCACACGUGCUACAAUGGGGGGUACAAUGAGAAGCAAAACCGCGAGGUGGAGCAAAUCUACAAAACCUCUCUUAGUUCGGAUUGCAGUCUGCAACUCGACUGCAUGAAGUUGGAAUCGCUAGUAAAGGCGUAUCAGCUACGACGCCUUGAAUACGUUCCCGGGCCUUGUACACACCGCCCGUCACAUCAUGGGAGUUGAUUGCACCCGAA